GAGGGGGUGACUAGUGACAGAGUGAGGGAGCGGGUGACACAGUGACAGAGUUAGGGAGGGAGUGACUAGUGACAGAGAGAGGGAUGGGGUGACUAGUGACAGUCACCCCCUCCCUCCCUCUGUCACUAGUCACUCCCUCCCUCUGUCACUAGUCAUCCCCUCCCUCUGUCACCAGUCAUCCCCUCCCUCUGUCACUAGUCACCUCUUCCCUCCCUCACUUUGCCACUAGUCAUCUCUUCCCUC